UCCUAACAGGAGCUCAGGGAUGAUAGAAACCUCCUGCAGAGAAGGGUAGAAGCUCACUUGAUCAUGAUUUUCUUUAUGAAUGCAGACCAUGAAAGUGGGG
rnacentral:ncRNA from 1 species